CGCUGUACCUAUUGGGUUUUACAUAUUUAAGAUUUUAAGAUCAAUUGCUCCAUGUUCAUUAACUUGCACGUCUGCCUAAAUGAAAGGGAAAGGGGGAAAUCUUUUUCAGAUGAAAAUAUAACAUUUCUGAAAAGUAAAAAAAAAAACUACAAUGGUACAGCUCAAACGGGCAGUCAUGGGUAAGCGGUUAGGGUGUCAGACUUGUAUCCCAGAGGCAUAAAUGCAAUUUCGUUGUGUGCAGUGUUCACUUGUGUGCUGUGGAGUGCUGUGUCACAAUGACAAUGGGAGUUGGAGUUUCCCAAUGGGCUUUCACACGUUUCACACAAAUGUGCUUUUUUUUCUUGGAACUGCUGUACCUAUUGGUUCAGGCUGUGUUUACAAUCAUUGCUUCUGUUACAAUAUACAGCAUUGCCUGAAAAAAAAAUACAAACACACAAAUACACAAAAAAAAUCCUCUAACUCUUGAUUUUUUACGUCGGCUUUCUGACCAAACGCCAACGCUUGCUGCUGCUUGAGGUUGGACCAACGAUGGCCCGAGGGUGGUUUGACGCCAAAGCUUGGUGUUGGGCCAACGAUGGCCCGACAAUGUUUUGACGUUGGAAGUCGGGGAUUAAAAAAUACAUUCAGACCGACUAAAUAGUAAAGGGAAAUGUUUAAUUCGACAGCGCUGAGUUAAAAUGUAUAGGAAUUGAUCAGCCUGUGACUUUUUUUUUUAAUCUUCUAACUCGUGAUUUUUUACGUCGGCUUUCCAACCAUACGCCAACACUUGCUGCUGCGGAAGCCGAGGUUGGCAUGAGGGUGGCCCAACGUUGGAAUUCCACCGCCAACCUUUCCAACCAGUCGCCAACCAAUGCCGCAGUUGGGCCAACGUGUGCUUGCUAUCUGGGAAGGAUGAAGCUGAAGGAGGACCAACAAAGACGGUCGGCAUGUGCAGUGGCUAUGUUGGAUCUCAAAAAGACAGCUGAGAGCCCAGGUAUGAGCCCAGAUCUGAUGCAGCCAGCUGACAACCCACAAUCAGAGGACAUCAGUGGGAAUGGAACAUUAAAUUAUCAAGGCUAUGCAGAUGCCGGAUGCAAGACUGAGCUAACGAUGGAUGACAUCGAGAAGAUGGAGGAUGUUCUGAGACAGAACACAACAGAGCUGGGAGAUCUUCGGACCAAGGCACUGGACACACAGUCAACCAGGAGUCCUUUGAAAAAAAUGAAGAAAGUUCUACACAGGGCUCCCCAACUUCUUAGUUUUAAUUCCGAUUUUUGAGCUGUGCGAGCCCUACAUCACCUGUGGCCCCUAAAUUUGAACAGUUGGUUUUAGUUUUGCUGAGGCUGAGACUAAAUCUCCCGCUGAAAGAUUUAGCUUUCAGGUUCAAGAUCUCUGUGCCCACUGCUUCUAGAGUUUGGCAUAAAAUAAUUGACAUACUUCAUGAAAGGUUAGAAUUUCAAAUUGAGUGGCCAGAGCGACAUGUACUUCAAGCUACAAUGCCAAUGGGAUUCAGACAGUCAUUUGGACGUAGAGUUGCUGUGAUAAUUGACUGUUUCAAAGUUUUUUAUUGAGAGGCCCUCUAAUUUACUUGCCCAAGCACAGACAUGGUCGAACUACAAGCAUCACCAUACUGUAAAAGUUCUGAUUGGUAUUGCACCCCAAGGCUAUGUCACUUGCAUAUCAUGUGCCUGGGGAGGGAGAGUCAGUGAUAAACAGAUCACAAUAGAGAGUGGCCUCAUUAAAAACCUGUUACCCGGGGAUGUUGUCCUAGCAGACCGUGGGUUUAAUAUUGGUGAUAUUGUUGGAUUUUACUGUGCUUCUGUACAGAUACCUGCAUUCACCAAAGGGAGAAAACAGCUGUCAGCGUACGAGGUGGCAGAAACUAGAAAAAUAGCGAAUUUGCGUAUUCAUGUUGAGAGGGUCAUAGGUUUAGUCAGAAGAAAAUAUCAGAUUCUGCAAAGCAGGGCUAUGCCCAAAAAGAACAUGGCAACAAAAUCAGGUGAGGCACUAGCAUUGAUUGACAAGAGUGGGGUUAUUUGCUGUGUCUUGUCUAAUCUUUCAGAGUCUGUCGUCCCAUUGGAGUAAGGAGGAGGGGCAGAGGUGAAGAGAGGAGGCAGGGGGAUAGGGAUAAUCAAUCAGUCCAGUACCUGAGCCCUACAACAUGUUGGUCUGGAGCACCUGGUUGGCUCACAGGAGGGGGGGGGAAGGGGAGGAGUAUACAGUAGUAGUAGUUUCACCUUACACACAUCAGUCUGUAAAUAUGUUUUUAAUAUUUUUCUCCACUAGUUCAAUUGUACUGGCGAUAUUUAUUUUAUACAAUGAAAUGGAUUCCAAUGUAUUAUUGCACAUAUUGUAUUUAUUAUAACAAUUGUUAAAACAUCUAAUCUUGUAAAUAAACCACCAUGUAUUAUUCUGUAUUCUCAA